AGCUUCGGUCGCGUUAGGACCAGUUCUUUUGGACUCCAACAACGCUGCUUUUAAAGUAGAAUUCCUUCGUGAAGAGGUUCAGUCAGUCUUUUCCACCAGCACUCCACCAGCGUGGCUGAAAAGUCGGUCCACGCCACAGAACCUUCCCGCUCUCUCCCAUGGAAAAGAGCAGAGAGCAACGCUUCACUUUGUGGAUGGAAGUUACGGUGUUGUCGAUGAGGUGCAUCGUCGAGAUGAGGUUCCUCUUAUAACUGCACAUGCAUGCACUGAAAAAAAUUACUUGACGAAGUUUGCUUAUUUUGAUGGACAUGCAGCCGUUGUUGGUGAUUAAAGAAGAAACUCUCCCUGAACACCAGGA